UACGUAGGGAGCAAGCGUUGUCCGGAUUUACUGGGUGUAAAGGGUGCGUAGGCGGGCAUACAAGUCAGAAGUGAAAUCUAUGGGCUUAACCCAUAAACUGCUUUUGAAACUGUAAGUCUUGAGUGAAGUAGAGGUAGGCGGAAUUCCCGGUGUAGCGGUGAAAUGCGUAGAGAUCGGGAGGAACACCAGUGGCGAAGGCGGCCUACUGGGCUUUAACUGACGCUGAGGCACGAAAGCGUGGGUAGCAA
rnacentral:rRNA from 1 species